rnacentral:lncRNA from 1 species
AAAAGAAAGGGGGCUUAACCGUGUUUCAUAUUCUCAGCAACUCUUCACCUCCUCUUUCUGUUCCUAUUUCGCUCUUUCUUUCUCUCCAAAAACUAGGGUUUCUUUUCUAAAGCGAAUUCAUGGCCAAAACUCGAGGAGGGUUUUUGUUUUUCACUGGUAGACAACUAGUUAGGGCUGACACAACGGAGGUUGAAACUGAGGACUCCAUGAGAGCCGCUCGAAGAAACAAUCGUCUUUUUAGACUAGAAUCUACUGAUUUAUGGGUUUUAUCGAAGAAAGCUAUGAAGAAAAAGGCUACCCCACUAAAUUAAAGAAGAAGAAAUCAGCAGAAUUCUCUAUCAUACCCGAUCCAUCACUGCAAUCAUCUCCUCCAUCUUUAACUUCUGCUCUAAAGGAAUCUGCCACUCUGUUAUCCUUCAGAUCAUCUAAGUAUGCUCGUCGUUUUCAUUCAUCCACGGCUAAUAAAUAAUUUUUUUAUGGAAAACCUAUGGAUAGCAUAUUAUUUCAAAAGUGUGGUAUUUUCUCUCUGUUUGAAACUGUUGGGCUAGGAAAAAUGUUAACUCCAAGCUCUCAUGCUUAUCCUACUUUAAUCAAACAAUUUUAUGGUAACAUGUCCAUAAAUCUGAUAUCAUAAAAACCCUGAUUCAAAAUGUGGUAAUCUUUGUGGAUGCAAAUUUACUUGGUAAUCUUUUUAAUAUUCCUUCCUCUAGUAUUUGUCCAUUCACUCUGAAAGGCCCUAUUGAGCUUGAUGAUUUGACUAUUCUUGAUCAACUGAGAACUGUCAAAGAGUGUGAAUCCUCUGAAUUCUUUUUCCUACCUAAAGUUGAGAAACCACUCUUAUAAAUAGUAUCAUACAUAAAAUCAUUCUUUCCAAUUUGAUUCCUAGGAUUGGUGGUCGCUCUGAUAUGACUUACCAAGAUUUGGUUAUUUCUGCCUUGAUUUUGAAAGGAACUAAAUUUAAUUUUGCUUUAAUGAUGAUAAAACAUAUGGAAAGCUACUUGAAAAAAAAUGUUUUCCUUAUGGUGGUUUUAUAACUACUAUUCUGACUCAUUUCUAUAUUUUCUUUGAUCUAGAAGAAUUUCUUUCUCUUUCUGAAAAAAUUGAUAAUAUUGUGUUUCACAACUCUUUUCUUGGGGUAUCUGAUGAUGCAACUAAUUUGUUCUGGGAUGUUGAGGAUCAAAAUAAUUAUAUGGAUAAUUUGUUUCAUGGUAUUCCAUCUUCGCCUCCAUCCUCUUCCUUAGGACUUGAACCUUCCACUUCAGAAUUGUUUUCUAUUCUACAAUCAAUGAUGACUAAGGUUGAUAGUGUGGUGGAAAAGGUUGAUAAAGUUCUUGACACUAUCAACUCAGUCACAGAGAAAGUAGAUGAUAUUUGGUCCAGCAAGGUGUGAUUGGAGCUAAGUUGUUUGUUGUGGACAAGAAGAUAGAUGAAAUUUGCUUUAGAUCUGACAAAGAAUGAAGUUUUAAUUUCUUUUUGAUAAUAACAAAGGGGGAGAGACUAUAUGAUGGGUGGUGGUUUUUAUUUGAUACUUUCUGGUUUGAUAGUUAUUAUUUUGGAAUUAUGAGAUAUUUUGUUAAUUCUUGUUGGUAUUGUAUUGACUACGGUACUCUGGUUUUUGAAUGCUACCUUGAUUAUGAUAUCUUAUAUUCAAUGAUGAUUCAAUGGUGAUUUGUUAUGGGCUGACUAUGUUAUUUAUUUACAUGUUUAGUUUAUUUUUGCUCUUUAAUAUACAUAAUCUUAGGAGGGGCAUAUAGUUAGGGGGACUAAUAUAUUGUCAUCAUAGAAAAAGGGGGAGAAUGUUAAUUUAUGAUUUUUAUUUUAAUGAUGACAACAUAUGUUUUGUAUGGAUUUAUUUUGUGAUUCACAGGUUAUGGAAUGUUCAUGCAAGAUAUCAAGAGAGCAUGCAUGAAGUAAAGGUGUUUAGUGCCACCACAUGGUUAAGUCCAUAGGACUUCACCCAAAAAAUCAAAUGUAAGAAUUUAUAGCUCAUUUAAUUAAUCUCAAGGCAAUUUUAUUGUGUUGGAAUUAAUUUUAUAAAGAGUAUUUCAUAUGAUUAAAAGUUUCCAAUAUUAUUAUUAUUAUCUUUGGAAAUCUAGUCUUUUCCUUAUUUCAAAGAGUUGUUUAGUUCAAAUCCAAAUCUUGGAAACCUCUUUUGAAAAACCGAAUUAAUCAUGUUGGUAUUUCUUAAAAUUGAAUUUUCAAGCUUCAAAAGAUGGAAAGUUAUUUUUGAAACAAAAUCAAUUAUGAAAAUCUCAGCUUUGUUUUACUAAGUCAAAAGAUCUUUUUGUGCCUGAUUUUUUGCAGCUAAUCUUUCUAAAUGUUUAUUCCUUGAUUUUAGCAGUUUAGUUCAAAAUUUAAAUCACUCCUUUCUUGGUUCUAUUUAGAUAUCUUUGUUGAGAUUUUGAAUUUAUGGAAAGUGGUUUCCUACCGUUGUUAGCCUUUAUCUACUGGAUCUUAAGUUCACCUCUUAUCUAACAUACCUUGCUUACCCCCUUUAGCGACGGACCGGGAGACGAUUCAAUCCGUCGCUAUAUGUUCGGUUCGUCGCUAUAUGUUGUCAGUCGUUAAAAGCUAAGACGACUGUUCUAUAUAUAGCGACAGGCCGAAUCGUCGCCCGGUCCGUCGUUAAAGGGGGGUGAGCAAGGUAUGUUAGAUAAGCGGUAAACUUAACAUCUGGACCGUAUAUAUAUAUACAUAUAUAUAUAGAACUGAUCUUGUCCGGUCUCCCAGACAGGCUUAAAAUACGGACCAAAAAAUAUUUUUUUUUUUAAAAACAACUAAAAAAAAAUAUGAAACUUGAAUUUUUACAUAAUACAGUGUUUUGGGUGUGUUUUGGAUACAUAUAACAAAACAUGUCUGUACAGUAUUAUGUAAAAAUUCAAGUUCUAUAAUUUUGACAUGUUUUGUUAUAUGUAUCCAAAACACACCCAAAACACUGUAUUAUGUAAAAAUUCAAGUUUCANNNNNNNNNNNNNNNNNNNNNNNNNNNNNNNNNNNNNNNNNNNNNNNNNNNNNNNNNNNNNNNNNNNNNNNNNNNNNNNNNNNNNNNNNNNNNNNNNNNNUAUACACUUGGCUAAAGCUUUAGAUAUCCAACGAAUUGAAAAACUAUUUUUAGCAGUGUUCAUAUUAAAAUUUUUUAUAGCAAUUUGUUUGUGCCUUGAUAUUAAUUUCUUGUAGCUAGAAAUUUAUAAAUAUUGUUAUAAUAUUCUUUCUUAAUCAAAAAGUGUAUACACGCCUAUUGUGGUUUGUGUUUGAUCCAGAGGUGGAUAAGAUGGUGCAAAGAAGGUUGUUGUGGAGCAAGAGGUUACUAUUGUGCAAAAAGGGACAGUGGUAUUCAUCAUUAUUUGAGUUGUUUUGUACAUGGAGUUUACUGUGUAAUUAAUUAAAUAUUAAAGUUAAUAGAAUAGUCUCCAAUACUAAUUGGCAUUGGACGUGGAUUAAGCCAUUAGAUUAAAGGUUUAGGCCUGAACCACGUAAAAAAUCUUGGUGUUCUCAUUUACUGUUUAUCUUGUUUGCUUAUUUCAAUUCUGCACUUAAACACUUCAUCUUUUACAUUGAUAAAAGACGUUACUGCUUAA